GACAGAGGGUGCAAACGUUGCUCGGAAUCACUGGGCGUAAAGGGCGUGUAGGCGGGAAGGAAAGUCAGAUGUGAAAUCCCUGGGCUCAACCCAGGAACUGCAUUUGAAACUCCCUUUCUUGAGUGUCGGAGAGGAAAGCGGAAUUCCUGGUGUAGAGGUGAAAAUUCGUAGAUAUCAGGAGGAACACCGGUGGCGAAGGCGGCUUUCUGGACGACAACUGACGCUGAGACGCGAAAGCGUGGGGAGCAAACAGG
rnacentral:rRNA from 1 species